AGUGAACGCUGGCGGUAGGCCUAACACAUGCAAGUCGAACGGCAGCACAGUAAGAGCUUGCUCUUACGGGUGGCGAGUGGCGGACGGGUGAGGAAUACAUCGGAAUCUACUUUUUCGUGGGGGAUAACGUAGGGAAACUUAAGCUAAUACAGCAUACGACCUACGGGUGAAGGCAGGGGAUCUUCGGACCUUGCGCGAUUGAAUGAGCCGAUGUCGGAUUAGCUAGUUGGCGGGGUAAUGGCCCACCAAGGCGACGAUCCGUAGCUGGUCUGAGAGGAUGAUCGGCCACACUAGAACUGGGACAGGGUCAUGACUCCUACGGUAGGCAGCAGUGGGGAAUAUUGGACAAUGGUCGCAAGCCUGAUCCAGCCAUACCGCGUGGGUGAAGAAGGCCUUCGGGUUGUAAAGCCCUUUUGUUGGGAAAGAAAAGCAGCAGGUUAAUACCCCGCUGUUCUGACGGUACCCAAAGAAUAAGCACCGGCUAACUUCGUG
rnacentral:rRNA from 1 species